rnacentral:rRNA from 1 species
AUUGAACGCUGGCGGCAUGCCUUACACAUGCAAGUCGAACGGUAACGGGCCUUCGGGUGCCGACGAGUGGCGAACGGGUGAGUAAUGUAUCGGAACGUACCUUUCAGUGGGGGAUAACGUAGCGAAAGUUACGCUAAUACCGCAUAUUCUGUGCGCAGGAAAGCAGGGGAUCGCAAGACCUUGCGCUGAUUGAGCGGCCGAUAUCAGAUUAGCUAGUUGGUGAGGUAAAGGCUCACCAAGGCGACGAUCUGUAGCGGGUCUGAGAGGAUGAUCCGCCACACUGGAACUGAGACACGGUCCAGACUCCUACGGGAGGCAGCAGUGGGGAAUUUUGGACAAUGGGGGCAACCCUGAUCCAGCCAUGCCGCGUGAGUGAAGAAGGCCUUCGGGUUGUAAAGCUCUUUCGGCCGGGAAGAAAUCGUAUCAGCUAAUACCUGGUGCGGAUGACGGUACCGGCAUAAGAAGCACCGGCUAACUACGUG